rnacentral:lncRNA from 1 species
GUCACGACAGCCGGGCAGAAACGUGGCCCUUGGCUGCUGGCUGGGGGACACGGUCAGGCUGGGUGGCCAACAGUGGGGAAAGGGCUCUGAGCGUGGCAUCUGCAUGGGCAGAACUCGGAGGAGUCACGCAGUGGGGCUGCAGGGAUCCUGUUCCACACCUGGGUUCGGUGAUUACACGACUGGGUCUGCCUUGGUCAGUCUGGAACCCCAGCACCCCGCAAUGGUCCCGGCCACCAGGAGAUGGUCACUGAGAGGAACACAGAGGGGCUGCCCAGAACCAGCCAGCAUGUGGAAGGAGGUGCCCAGGAUAGGAGGGACCAGCUCCAAAACAGGAAGAGCGCCGGCUGAACGGAGGCCCCGGCGGACUCCGGCUUCCCAGGCCCACACCGACGUCGCCGACGUCAAUCGUCGGAAGCCCGGGAUUCCGGGGCGCAGAGGCUGCAAAGGCCCGGGGGUCUAGCGCGGUCUCCACGGGGCAGAGCGCUUUGCAAGUCUGGUACUAUUACUGCUGUCGGCGGUGUUGUUGGGACCCUUCACGUCUCUGGGUCUCCCCCCCGCCCGCCCCCCGCUGUGCCCCAUGGCCGGGUGGGUGGCCUGGGGUGGAGCAGGGAGCCAGCGGGGGCUGAGGUCCCCGGGGUGGGGGGCGUUGUAGGGACGGGAGGGGAGGCCGGGGCCCCAGACCACGCUUGGGCCACACGAGUGGCCACAUCAAACCCCGGAUCCGCAGGGACACCCUCCCCGCGGGUCGCCCGCCGCGGGAGACCCCGACACCCACGGUGACACCUCGGACCCAGGGUCACCACCGGGUGCCCUCCCGGGCUGCGGCCACACCCU